rnacentral:rRNA from 1 species
UACGUAGGGUGCAAGCGUUGAUCGGAAUUACUGGGCGUAAAGCGUGCGCAGGCGGUGAUGUAAGACAGGUGUGAAAUCCCCGGGCUUAACCUGGGAACUGCAUUUGUGACUGCAUCGCUGGAGUGCGGCAGAGGGGGAUGGAAUUCCGCGUGUAGCAGUGAAAUGCGUAGAUAUGCGGAGGAACACCGAUGGCGAAGGCAAUCCCCUGGGCCUGCACUGACGCUCAUGCACGAAAGCGUGGGGAGCAAACAGG